rnacentral:tRNA from 1 species
AAUUAUUUAGUUUAAUAAAAACACUAUAUUUUCAGCAUAGAGAUAAAUUAUAGAUUUAAUAAUUU